rnacentral:tRNA from 1 species
AGAAACUUAGGAUUAAAUUAAACCAGUGACCUUCAACGUCACAAACAAGGGACUAACCCUUAGUUUCUG